CCUGGUUGAUCCUGCCAGUAGUCAUAUGCUUGUCUCAAAGAUUAAGCCAUGCAUGUCUAAGUAUAAGCACUUGUACUGUGAAACUGCGAAUGGCUCAUUAAAUCAGUUAUCGUUUAUUUGAUUGUACUUUUACUACAUGGAUACCUGUGGUAAUUCUAGAGCUAAUACAUGCGAAAAAUCCUCACUUCUGGAAGGGAUGUAUUUAUUAGAUUAAAAACCAAUGCGAAUCUUCGGGUUCGUUUUCUUGGUGAUUCAUGAUAACUUUUCGAAUCGCAUGGCCUCGCGCCGGCGAUAUUUCAUUCAAAUUUCUGCCCUAUCAACUGUCGAUGGUAAGGUAGUGGCUUACCAUGGUUAUAACGGGUGACGGAGAAUUAGGGUUCGAUUCCGGAGAGGGAGCCUGAGAAACGGCUACCACAUCUAAGGAAGGCAGCAGGCUCGAAAAUUACCCAAUCCCGACUCGGGGAGGUAGUGACAAGAAAUAACGAUACGGGGUCUUAAUAGGUCUCGCAAUUGGAAUGAGUACAAUUUAAAUCCUUUAACGAGGAUCAAUUGGAGGGCAAGUCUGGUGCCAGCAGCCGCGGUAAUUCCAGCUCCAAUAGCGUAUAUUAAAGUUGUUGCAGUUAAAAAGCUCGUAGUUGGAUUUCGGAGUGGGCCAGUUGGUCCGCCGCAAGGUGUGUUACUGACUGGUUUGCUCUUCUUCGCAUAGACUGCGUGUGCUCUUUAUUGAGUGUGCGUAGGACAUGCGACGUUUACUUUGAAAAAAUUAGAGUGUUCAAAGCAGGCUAUUGCUUGAAUACAUGAGCAUGGAAUAAUGGAAUAGGACUUUGGUCCCAUUUUGUUGGUUUCUAGGACCGAAGUAAUGAUUAAGAGGGACAAUUGGGGGCAUCCGUAUUUCGUUGUCAGAGGUGAAAUUCUUGGAUUUACGAAAGACGAACAACUGCGAAAGCACUUGCCAAGAGUGUUUUCAUUAAUCAAGAACGAAAGUUAGAGGAUCGAAGACGAUCAGAUACCGUCCUAGUUCUAACCAUAAACGAUGUCGACUAGGGAUCAGCGGGCGUUAUCGUACGACCCCGUUGGCACCUUACGGGAAACCAAAGUUUCUGGAUUCCGGGGGAAGUAUAGUCGCAAGUCCGAAACUUAAAGGAAUUGACGGAAGGGCACCACCAGGAGUGGAGCCUG
rnacentral:rRNA from 1 species